AUUGAACGCUGGCGGCAGGCCUAACACAUGCAAGUCGAGCGAGAGGCGGACGGGUGAGUAAUGUAUGGGGAUCUGCCCGAUAGAGGGGGAUAACUACUGGAAACGGUGGCUAAUACCGCAUACUAUCGGAUGGACCCAUAUGGGAGUAGCUAGUAGGUGGGGUAAAGGCUCCACGAGGCGACGAUGUCGAGCGGGGCUGAGAGGAUGAUCAGCCACACGGGGACUGAGACACGGCCCAGACUCCUACGGGAGGCAGCAGUGGGGAAUAGUGCGCAAUGGGCGCAAGCCUGAUGGAGCCAUGCCGCGUGGAUGAAGAAGGCUUUAGGGUUGUAAAGUACUUUCAGCGGGGAGGCGGUACCCGCAGAAGAAGCACCGGCUAACUCCGUGCCAGCAGCCGCGGUAAUUC
rnacentral:rRNA from 1 species